CGAGUACAGACGAUUCAGUCAAUGCAAGAUGGCGGCGACAAGCGUAAGGAAGCACAGUUAUCAAUGGCCACCAGACAAAACACAAGCCCUGAUUCAUUUCAGGGCCACCAAUGAAGACAAGUUUACAAAAAGCAAGCAGGCUCCAAAAAAACUAUGGGAGUGAGUAAUUUGUAACUUGUGAACUGUUCAUAUUCAUAACAUAAUUCUCAGUCACAACGGCAACUGUUCCCCUAGUGAUCAAGCAUUCUGUUUCAAUAUGAAAUCAGCACAGCUGCAGACGGCAUUGUCGAAGAUUGUUGUUUGGUAACUGUACAUUUGUUUUGGAGCUGCCCCUAUACUGUCACUUUUUGGAAAGAUUUUGUCGAGUAUAUUCGUUGCAACAUUUAUGUUCUAUUUUCACUACUGUACAAAGAUGUGCUGUUUGGAUUUUAUGAUGUCAGCAUUUCAAAACAAAAACAAUUCUAUAUCAUUAAUCUAUCUAUUAUCUUAGCGAAAUUCCAUAUUCAUAAGAGAAAAUUUUGUAACAGAAAACCCUUGUUCAAAAUUUUUAUGAAUGAAAUGCAGCAAUACUUAGAAACCAUUCAGCACUCCACAAACUCCAAAGCUAUAAAGACUCUGAAAAUAUGUAAACAAUUUAAUUGUUUGAGCUGCUGAACUUUUUUAUUUAUUUAUUUGUUUAUUUUAUUUCUUUUUCUUUUCUCUUAACCCUGGCAUAUUUGUUCUGUUCAUGUCUGUCACUGCUUGUUUUGUACAAGAAUUGAAAUAAAGUGUUGGGAAAAAAACUCAUCACGUCUUUUUAUCGACAACUACUGAUGACAUAUAUUUCUUCUUCUUUGAACUGACAGACUGGAUAGAGUUUUGGCAUAUUGCUGCCCCCGACAGUCUUAAGACAUAUUUGCCUUUGAGGGGUGUCCCAUUUUAAAGUCACAAGAUAGCCCUUAACACUUGGUUUUGAGGGCUAGUGAGAUUUAGGGUUGAGCUUGAGAAUUAAGAUUGAGGGUUAAAAUAGGAAUUGGGAUUGGGCCCAAGUUCUCAAAUAUAAGGGUUUUGACUUUAUGUAUUUUGAUUCUUGUUUUUAAACAAAAAAUUACAAUUGUGAGGGGCAGAAGAGGUGCUGUUAUAUUGUCUGAAUGUAAGCAUUGUAACACUUUGUUCUCAC